UACAAGAAGAGGGUAGUAGAUGCCAUCUA
rnacentral:piRNA from 1 species